rnacentral:rRNA from 1 species
GGAGCUUGCUCCUUUGACGUUAGCGGCGGACGGGUGUAGUAACACGUGGGCAACCUACCCUAUAGUUUGGGAUAACUCCGGGAAACCGGGGCUAAUACCGAAUAAUCUCUUUUACUUCAUGGUGAAAGACUGAAAGACGGCAUCUCGCUGUCGCUAUAGGAUGGGCCCGCGGCGCAUUAGCUAGUUGGUGAGGUAACGGCUCACCAAGGCGACGAUGCGUAGCCGACCUGAGAGGGUGAUCGGCCACACUGGGACUGAGACACGGCCCAGACUCCUACGGGAGGCAGCAGUAGGGAAUCUUCCACAAUGGGCGAAAGCCUGAUGGAGCAACGCCGCGUGAGUGAAGAAGGUUUUCGGAUCGUAAAACUCUGUUGUAAGGGAAGAACAAGUACAGUAGUAACUGGCUGUACCUUGACGGUACCUUAUUAGAAAGCCACGGCUAACUACGUGCCAGCAGCCGCGGUAAUACGUAGGUGGCAAGCGUUGUCCGGAAUUAUUGGGCGUAAAGCGCGCGCAGGCGGUCCUUUAAGUCUGAUGUGAAAGCCCACGGCUCAACCGUGGAGGGUCAUUGGAAACUGGGGGACUUGAGUGCAGAAGAGGAAAGUGGAAUUCCAAGUGUAGCGGUGAAAUGCGUAGAGAUUUGGAGGAACACCAGUGGCGAAGGCGACUUUCUGGUCUGUAACUGACGCUGAGGCGC